GAUUUAGGGUCCCAGAGGAGUUUCAGUGUGUUGGACCGCCUCCUCCACACACACCCCGUCUGGCUGCAGCUAUCCAUCAAUGCUGACUCCGCCCUCUAUAUCCUGCUCAGAGAACCUGUCGGGACGUUCCUGGUUCGUAAGUGCAGCUCCAGCCAGAGGAAGGUGUUGUGUGUCCGAGUGACAGCAGACCGAUCAGUAUCCUCCAUUAAGGAGUGUCUCAUAUGUGAGGAAGACUCAACCUUCGCCUUGGAGAGCUCCGCCCUCAGCUUCCCAGACCUCUGCCGAUUGGUGGCCUUCUACUGCAUCA